CUACUAGUUGUCGGGUUUAAUUAACUUGGUAACGCAGCUAACGCGUGAAGUAGACCGCCUGGGGAGUACGGUCGCAAGAUUAAAACUCAAAGGAAUUGACGGGGACCCGCACAAGCGGUGGAUGAUGUGGAUUAAUUCGAUGCAACGCGAAAAACCUUACCUACCCUUGACAUGUACGGAAGACCGAAGAGAUUUGGUUGUGCUCGAAAGAGAACCGUAACACAGGUGCUGCAUGGCUGUCGUCAGCUCGUGUCGUGAGAUGUUGGGUUAAGUCCCGCAACGAGCGCAACCCUUGUCAUUAGUUGCUACGAAAGGGCACUCUAAUGAGACUGCCGGUGACAAACCGGAGGAAGGUGGGGAUGACGUCAAGUCCUCAUGGCCCUUAUGGGUAGGGCUUCACACGUCAUACAAUGGUACAUACAGAGCGCCGCCAACCCGCGAGGGGGAGCUAAUCGCAGAAAGUGUAUCGUAGUCCGGAUUGUAGUCUGCAACUCGACUACAUGAAGUUGGAAUCGCUAGUAAUCGCGGAUCAGCAUGUCGCGGUGAAUACGUUCCCGGGUCUUGUACACACCGCCCGUCACACCAUGGGAGCGGGUUUUACCAGAAGUAGGUAGCUUAACCGCAAGGAGGGCGCUUACCACGGUAGGAUUCGUGACUGGGGUGAAGUCGUAACAAGGUAGCCGUAUCGGAAGGUGC
rnacentral:rRNA from 1 species